rnacentral:rRNA from 1 species
AGUCGAACGGCAGCACGGGGGCAACCCUGGUGGCGAGUGGCGAACGGGUGAGUAAUACAUCGGAACGUGUCCUGUAGUGGGGGAUAGCCCGGCGAAAGCCGGAUUAAUACCGCAUACGCUCUACGGAGGAAAGGGGGGGAUCUUAGGACCUCUCGCUACAGGGGCGGCCGAUGGCAGAUUAGCUAGUUGGUGGGGUAAAGGCCUACCAAGGCGACGAUCUGUAGCUGGUCUGAGAGGACGACCAGCCACACUGGGACUGAGACACGGCCCAGACUCCUACGGGAGGCAGCAGUGGGGAAUUUUGGACAAUGGGCGCAAGCCUGAUCCAGCAAUGCCGCGUGUGUGAAGAAGGCCUUCGGGUUGUAAAGCACUUUUGUCCGGAAAGAAAACCUCCGCCCUAAUAUGGUGGGGGGAUGACGGUACCGGAAGAAUAAGCACCGGCUAACUACGUGCCAGCAGCCGCGGUAAUACGUAGGGUGCAAGCGUUAAUCGGAAUUACUGGGCGUAAAGCGUGCGCAGGCGGUCCGCUAAGACAGAUGUGAAAUCCCCGGGCUUAACCUGGGAACUGCAUUUGUGACUGGCGGGCUAGAGUAUGGCAGAGGGGGGUAGAAUUCCACGUGUAGCAGUGAAAUGCGUAGAGAUGUGGAGGAAUACCGAUGGCGAAGGCAGCCCCCUGGGCCAAUACUGACGCUCAUGCACGAAAGCGUGGGGAGCAAACAGGAUUAGAUACCCUGGUAGUCCACGCCCUAAACGAUGUCAACUAGUUGUCGGGUCUUCAUUGACUUGGUAACGUAGCUAACGCGUGAAGUUGACCGCCUGGGGAGUACGGUCGCAAGAUUAAAACUCAAAGGAAUUGACGGGGACCCGCACAAGCGGUGGAUGAUGUGGAUUAAUUCGAUGCAACGCGAAAAACCUUACCUACCCUUGACAUGUAUGGAAUCCUGCCGAGAGGUGGGAGUGCCCGAAAGGGAGCCAUAACACAGGUGCUGCAUGGCUGUCGUCAGCUC